rnacentral:rRNA from 1 species
GGACGAACGCUGGCGGCGUGCCUAAUACAUGCAAGUUGAGCGCUGAAGGUUGGUACUUGUACCAACUGGAUGAGCAGCGAACGGGUGAGUAACGCGUGGGGAAUCUGCCUUUGAGCGGGGGACAACAUUUGGAAACGAAUGCUAAUACCGCAUAAAAACUUUAAACACAAGUUUUAAGUUUGAAAGAUGCAAUUGCAUCACUCAAAGAUGAUCCCGCGUUGUAUUAGCUAGUUGGUGAGGUAAAGGCUCACCAAGGCGAUGAUACAUAGCCGACCUGAGAGGGUGAUCGGCCACAUUGGGACUGAGACACGGCCCAAACUACUACGGGAGGCAGCAGUAGGGAAUCUUCGGCAAUGGACGAAAGUCUGACCGAGCAACGCCGCGUGAGUGAAGAAGGUUGUCGGAUCGUAAAACUCUGUUGGUAGAGAAGAACGUUGGUGAGAGUGGAAAGCUCAUCAAGUGACGGUAACUACCCAGAAAGGGACGGCUAACUACGUG